UACGUAGGGUGCAAGCGUUGUCCGGAAUUAUUGGGCGUAAAGAGCUCGUAGGCGGUCUGUCGCGUCGGAUGUGAAAACCCAGGGCUCAACCCUGGGCCUGCAUUCGAUACGGGCAGACUAGAGUUCGGUAGGGGAGACUGGAAUUCCUGGUGUAGCGGUGAAAUGCGCAGAUAUCAGGAGGAACACCGGUGGCGAAGGCGGGUCUCUGGGCCUUACCUGACGCUGAGGCGCGACAGCGUGGGGAGCAAACAGG
rnacentral:rRNA from 1 species